UACGAAGGGGGCUAGCGUUGCUCGGAAUCACUGGGCGUAAAGGGCGCGUAGGCGGAUAGUUUAGUCAGAGGUGAAAGCCCAGGGCUCAACCUUGGAACUGCCUUUGAUACUGGCUAUCUUGAGUUCGGGAGAGGUGAGUGGAAUGCCGAGUGUAGAGGUGAAAUUCGUAGAUAUUCGGCGGAACACCAGUGGCGAAGGCGACUCACUGGCCCGAUACUGACGCUGAGGUGCGAAAGCGUGGGGAGCAAACAGG
rnacentral:rRNA from 1 species